GGGGCCGCGCCGCCGCCCUUAUCCGCCCGCGCAGCGCCGCCUGGGGCUCGCGAUAGGGCCGGCCGCCCCCAGCUCCCCGCCCUGCCCCGGCGGCGGGCCCCGGUGAGUCAUCCCGCUUCCUCCCGCGAUGUAGGUCGGGGUGCGCGGGCAGUGCCGGGCCCUCCGCCACGCCUCCGGGCUGAAGCGCGCCGUGCCGCAGGUGAGGGCCGCCCGAGUCCGGCCGCCGUCUGAGCGGGGCCGGAGGGGCGGUCCGAGAGCCGCCGGGAUCGCGCAGCGCCGCACUGCGCUGCCGGAACGCCGCGCUCCGGGCCGUGUCCGCCCCCCUCCCCCCUCUGCUUUCUGCCGCUGUUUCGCCCCGGAUGAAACAUCCGCAGCUCACGCAGCGCUCGGUGUCUCCUCCGUUUUAAAACCUGGAGGCGCUGUUGGCGAUACGUCGCUCUCUUCCACCCGUUGCGCAGCCCCGUUUCGCUCCGGGCUUCACCUGAGGCGGCCGAGCGCUGCAGGUCGGUGCUGACGGUGCCGGUCCGCCCUCGCGGCGCCGCCCGUUCACCUCCCUGCCUCAGCGGGGCCGCCAAAGCAGCAGAACUCCUCGCUUACCCGGCCGGGAGCUGCGGCUGUUCCCAGAAAUCUCCAUCGGUAACUUUUCCCGAAGCCGUCGUUCGGGUUCGAGCCUUCACGCGGCGAGCGGCUCCAUGGGAUGAAACCUAUUCGGCUGCUUCUGUGGUGCGAUGCGAGGCGCUGGCGAGCAGCUCGGGGGGUGCUUUGGAAGGGGACCGUAUGGCACAGGGCCUGAAACGCGUCGUUGCUUCCAAGUCUCGCUGCGGAUGGGUCAGCUCGGUGCAUUUCUUCCUUCUAAGUGUCAGGUCGGGAUGUGAAAAUACCUGCCCGAACUGCUCCAGCUGUGGGGUAAAGAGGCAGAAAGCACUUUUCCCUUAAACCAGAUCCCAUUUAUGAAGAUCAAACGUGAUAUCCAUCCUGAGAGCGCAACUGCGGUGAAUAAAUACCUCUGGCUUAGAGCUAAUUAAGAAAUAACAACCCCAGCUGUUGGACCGACCUGCAGAAGCCUUGUUGUAACCCUGACAUCUGCCCGCCUCCAGCAGUCCCUGCGAGUUCCUGGCCACAUCAGCCUUCCCUGGUCCUGCAGCAGCGUGCAGAGGUGAGCAGUCAGGUUCCCCAUCAGGUAAUUCUGGUUCUCCUUCCAGGGCAGCAGCCCCGGUACAGCAGGAAGGCAGCCCAGGUCCUGGCAGGGCGAUGGGAAGGGCCCUUUGUGGGCAGGACUGCCUGCAGAUGGGCUGAAGGAAUCAGUAUUCCACCAACUGCUAGAAGAAAAUUAAACUUUAUUUAAAAAUUCUUCUAAUGUAGAAAACGAGAGGAGACGAAGGCAAAAACGAAUGCCCCUGGUUCCAUCUCAUUACAGGAGUUACUGUAUGUACAGCUUCAGAAAGGAGCACUGGCAGAAGGUACACAUCCUACUUAUGGAGCACUACAAACACUUAACAAUACGUUGUACAAACCUGACGUAACAUUGAAAGGUUCACUGCAGGAAACAAUUAAAUACAGUCGCUAAGACAGACAGUAGAAGAGCACAGACUGAUGUUAUUUCAUCCCGAAUCCUCCGUGUUCCAGGCAGCCCAAACCACCCUCAAUCAGCCCCCACUGCCUCGGUGAGAAGCUGCUGCAUCCCAAAGGAUUGGGAUCGCUCUGCAUGGGCUGGAGGUCAGCGGCACAGAGGGGGACACCACCAAACCCUUUCUAUCCUAGUUUGACUUUCUGGCCAACGUGAAGAACUGAAUCAAAUCAAAGCAGUGAAGCAAUGCUGUGCUGCACCUCGCGUGCCUAUAGGCGGCGUCGCAGCUGAAGGCCCAGCUCGUUGAGCAGUGUACGUUUUUGCACGUGUGGGACAACAACAGAGAGAGCUCGAGACUGGCCAGGCUGGUGGUGGGUCCGUUCUGUGCCUGGAACUGUACGGGAGGUGGUCCAUCUGUCCACUGCAAGAUAACAAACAGCAUGAAAAUCCUCCAGCCACGACCUGGGAAGGGGAGGAGCAGCAGCAAGGCCAGAAAAAGGAGCUGCCCACACACACAUUGACUACCUUGAGAUCAUUUACUGAUUUCAUGACAAGCUGAGCAUCAGGUUUGACUCUGUGUCAUGUGCAUGGAGCAGGGGGAACUGUGACUUGCACUUAUGACAGACCUCAAUUUAGAUGCUUCUGUUUGAGCCCAUUCUACAGUGCAGCUACAGUGUUUCCAGAGUGAAUGAAGCCUCUGGUUCUCACCCGUUUCAUGUUUUCCUCUCAAAUUUAUCAAAAUCUCCUGAACUAGGCAGAUUUUGUAGUUUUUAAUCCUCUUCCACCUCCACAUUUUUAAUCUAGCAUGGAUUACACAUAAGCCAGCAAUGGCAAGCAAAGUCAGCAGAGCAUACAGCACAGGGGGAUGGGCUGUGGGCAUCACCAACGUGGGCUGCACAGCACAUGUGGGUCUCAGGAUCCCUCUGCAGCCAAAGCAAUCAGCUUCUUCCUGGCAGCCUUUUUUUUCCCCUCUCAUAAAGGGAACGUUGGGAAAAGAUGUCAGGUUUCCCUACAUCCCAAAUUCACAUUUGGACGUUAUUUCAGUCUGAAAGAAUGGAUUAUCUUUCACUCUUGCUGAAUUCCAGCAUAAGAGAGCACUUUGGUAUUUUUAAGCUAUGUUAAAAGUGUUUCUGACAGUGACAAGUCCAAAAGAGGAACCCCUUAAGGUAGCAGCUCUACAGACAUUGAAUGUCAUUAACUGGAAAUUCAGAUUUAUAGAUAAGGUGAAAACCCACAAAUGCUAGAAUUAUCUCAAUAGAAACCAUACUCAUAGCAGUACUCAAAGCAUUCCCCUGAAGAAGGGGAUCUAAACAUUAAAAUUAAACCCGAGUAUACAUUAAUUUUCUUUCAAAAGUAGCAGCUGUCCCCAAAACAAAGUGGCUACCUGCUACAGAAGGCAUUAAAAGAAAGUUCUGGAGUGCCAAUAAAACCACUGAAGGAAACAAAGACCUCACAGGGAUAUCGAGGGAAAGCAAAGCACGCUGUCCUGCCUCGAGAGUGCCCAGAACCAGAAGAUGAAGAUUGCUUACCGUGAUUAAAUUGUGUUCUGGAAGACUGCAUGCUUCAAUGUGGUCCUGGAGGAGCUGCUGUGAGAAGUUCUGAUGCAUCUGUGCUGCCUCAUGUGCAUCCAUUGCAUUUCCACAGGCUUUGUUCAGGUCUGAAAGACAAGAGCUUCAUUUGCUCACCAAGAACCACCGUUCACACUUAUCUUCUCUGAUGUGACUCUUCCCCAUAGUAAUGAAUGAAUGACUUAAACUGCCAAUAUAUCAAGGCCAUCCCACUCAGAAGGGCAGGGGCACAUUGAGAACCUGAGCCUUUCCUCCUUCCAACAUUGCAGGAUUUGAUGUUAUUUUAGUUUCCAAUCAUUCAAAUAACACUACGCUAAUUGGACAAGCAGGAAAGCACCUCCUUACCCAGCAGAGCCCCUGUGCUGCAGGCACACACACUCUCUAUGUUCUGGCACCAUCUAGUGGGAAUGAGGGCUCACCAGUUUGUCACCAUGCUUUGGCAGCACAGACCUCACAGCAGUUCAUUUAUUUUCCCUCCUCGUUCCCCUUUGCUUUCAGGCCCUCACAGCCUGCAGCUCUGCCCAUCCCCAACGCAGCUCCUAUUGUCUUGUUUCCUGUGAGGUUUGCUGGCAUAUAUUAGCUCAGCCACAUUUCAGAAUGGUAACACAGUAAGCAUGGCAAUGUUAGCUAACAGGGAUAAGCAGUGUAGAGGUGAGGGCUGAGACACACAGCUCCUGUUGGUGAACAAGUGCUGGCAUUCCACUGCUCCUGAUGGAGCACCUCUUCAAAAGAGAAUCUAUCCGUUCCAUGGGAGAGCUCUUAGAAAAACCAAAGCAGAAUGGGAAUGGUGCCUCUGUGACAGGAGCAGCAACAGCUGAACAAGGGACAGCCUUUCAUCUACAGUAGAUUCAUUAUUAUUAUUGGCAUGUUUUGUAUGUCAACCACCACUUGGAAACGAAUGAGAGAAGUUAUUUCAAUUGCCUAGAAGCAAUUUUGUAGCAAAGGCAGUAGCAAAGCAGAACAUAAGCCUGGCCCAGUGCUUGGUUUACAGCACCAUGCUUAUAGCAAACACGACAGCUUAAUAGAAACUGAAACUGUGGGGUAAGUUCUUGGGAAAGGGGUAGAGUUACUGCUUUAUUUUCUAGUGAAAGCAAAUCAAUUGCAGCAUUAACGCUGACAGUCUGCCAAGAAGCUAGUCAAUAUUUGAACAAAGCAUCCUGGGGCCCAUGCAAGUCAGAUUAAACAAUAUUUAUGUAUGAGAGAUAUAACAGUCUCUUGUAUUUAUUAAGGCCCCCACACAGAAGCAAAGCCUAAUAAAAUGUUUACUGAAGCAAGAGCUGCAGUCAGAGCAAAGCCCUGCAACAACAGCACGGAUGCUGCAUGGCUGUGACCUGCAGCCCUUCCCAAGCAGUCACAGUAUUCUGCACGCCCAUGCACUCAGUCUGCAUGACGAGCAUCCCCACACAGACUCCCAGUGAGCAGCAGUGGUUCUUUGCCACUCAUUUUAAGCACAAGACAUUUUCCUCCCUUACCUCUCAGCAGAGCUGAAGACCACAGCUGCACAGACAUAUCCGGGAUCUUGCUUGCAAGCUGCAUGGCUGGCACUACCAUAUUAUUACUUUCCUGGUGAAAAGCAGACAUCAACAUCAAAGACGUACUUUUUCCCCUUCCAAAUAUGUAAUGUAUCGAAGAGAUGCUUUUGCCUAAUUUAAUUGCUAGCUAGCAAGCUGAAAUGCUUAAUGGGACAAUAACGCAAACAGAUCAUCUAAAGCUGCCUGGAAUUUUGCCUUGUCCCAGGCAUUAUGGUGUCUGUGUUGUGCAAGACAAUAGAAAUAUUUCACACAUUCUGGCAUACGAUGAGAAUUCAGAAGAGCUCACACCCACAAUUCCUUCCAAGCAAUCCCACUGCAUGACGUUACUUGUCCUUUAUUCUAUUGUUUUUUUUUCCCCCCCCGAGUGAUUUCAGGCAUUACAGAAACACCUAUCUCUACAAUAGGAGCCAAACACUACUGCUUUGUAAAGAGUGUUGCUCAGUGUGCAAGAAUGGUGUAUAUCCACGAGCUGCCGGCUCUCAGUGGGGCACCUACAUACAAACACUCCUGAACACAACCUGAGAAGCGCCCCAAUUUGCUCUGGCAAAUCAAUAAGCACACAGUAGCAGCAGACACACGAAGGCUUACCCUGUGAUUCCCUAAUACGUAGAAUAUAUGACCCAGGAGCACGAGGGAACAUGCUGUUAAUCGAUUCAAAUCUUCUGCAUUUGACAUUUUCAGCGUCUCUCGCAAAAACCGCCUGCCAACACAGAGCACAGCACGGAGCAAUUAACCAAAAUCUGCCUUCCCUGAUGUCUUUAAGAAAUGUCAUGAAGAACCCAAUGAACCCCAUCAGCAAAUGAGCACCCGGGAAUAAACGCGUGCUGCAGGUGACCUGAAACAAAGCGCUCCAUUCCCAAACCUCACCUUUCAUUUAGCAAGAAGGACUAUAACAUAUCCCCCUUUGAAAAGCCUUUCUUUCAGAUGGGCCACUGCAGAACACCACACAAGUAUUACUCAGAGCAAAAGAGAUGUAAAACAGUCUUUGCCUCAAGCGAAACAGAAGGUUGGCUAAACCCACGGGGAACCCAGGAGGUUGGAAAGCAAAGCCUUUGAGUUUUCGUGUUGAGUUUAAAUCCCGAUUUGGUUUUUCCUUCUCCCCCCCCUUCCAGGUGCAGAGCUUUGUACUCACUUUGCCUCGUUGUAUCUUCCUUGGAAGAAGGAGAACAGACCUCGGAUAUAGAAAGCUGCUGCUCGAAGGCAGUGGGAGCUACAAACAAAGCAGAACGUUGACAUUGAGGCACUGCACAGUGACAAACACAGCACGGGCUGUGUCCCAUAACCAAACCUCUGCACAAAACAUUACGUUGAACAAACAGUCAGAGCUUCUGCCUUGAAAAGAAGAGGAUUAUUCUGUCUUCUGUGAAUAAAGCCUGAUACAAAACCAGUAUUACCAUCAUCAGUGCAACAUCAGCACAGUUUCUGGAACUCUCACCUCACAGGAAAAUUGUGGUCUGGAUUUAUCCUUUCCAAUAAGCUGUAAAGCUGCAAAGUGAGAGGGGAAAAAGGAUAAUCAGUGCUUCUGACAUAUACAGCUGAUGGUAUAGACAGCAUGAGUCUGACACAAAGUGCACAUCGCAUCAAAACAUUCAAGUCACUACAAACACACUGACAUUUACUUAUAUUGGUUAAAUCAAACAACAGGUGUUCCAAUGCUAGAAAUUAUGUCCAUUCUGGUCCUAGAAACGACUUUUACGUAAAAUAUGCUGUCUUAAACUUUAUAAAAGUUACUAUAAACUGUUAACGCUUCCUCAGAAAAUCCUUAGCAGUCAUUUAACUGAGCUGCUCUGUAUCUAAAUGCUGUCUCAGAUUCGUCAGUUAAUCCAAACCAGGAAUGAACUGUGCAAAAAAAGAAAAGGGUGACUUCUGCAGAGCUGCAGGCAGGACGCAGUGAGCACUCACCUCCUGGUGUCGGUUGCCUUCCCUGAUGUACACACUGGCCAAGUUUGUCACAAUGAACGCCCACAGCUCCUGGUGUGUAGUGAGCUGAAACAGAACAAAGCACACCAACAGCGCAGUCAAAAUACUCCAGUGCCUAACCCAGAAUUAGUUCACCCCGUCUUUAAUAUAUACAAAAAGAAAGAAAAUACUCAGAUUUGGUGUCUGCUUUUUAGCUACAAACAAAUUCUCCUGACCUGAACCGUGUUCGGCAAGGAAAAUCUGAACGAAUACAACUAAUACAGACUUUGCACUUCCAGCCUCAUCUGCCUGGUGCCCCACACAACCACAAGCCCAGCCACCACACUGGAUAUUGUGAGAAGAAAAACCUUACCCUCAGUGCUGUAGUAAACUGUGCUUCUGCAUUGUCCAUGCAAUUAACAGAAAUGCAGUAGAGCCCCUGUAGAAGACAUGAUGUUGUUAAGGUAACAGCACAUCGUUCCAAGCCCAGAAUGCCAAGAAGGCAAGCAUGCACAGAACCACAGAAACCAGCAUAUUGGCUGAAAGAAGGCUCUCGAUUCCUUACAACCUUCAAAUAGCAAUGCUACUUAUAUUUGUCCCCACACCCAGUUCCCACAACGUGGUCUCAAAGAUGCACAGUGCAUAUCCCGUGUAUUUACACUGUGUACCAAUUAUCAUGGCACAGGGCACUUUAAAAGGGGAUUUAAGGCUCUGACAGCUGAGCUGGCUGUGAGUCCCCACAGCAGGACAGGCAAACAGCAAAGCAACCAUUCCUCAGCAAGAAAUUCUGCUGUCUGCAUCACCGUGACCUCAUUACUGGUGACUGUGCACCGUUCAGUCCUCAAAGAGUCACAGAUUUACCUCUCAUCACAGACACUUACUAACAGAGUGUGCAGCUGGGCAGCGUGAUUAGAAAACAGCCUGGGAGACUGCUGGCAGAGCUGGCAGACUUGUGAGAUCUGUUAGGAAAAAACAAUCUCUUUCAGAUAUUUUUCUCUGUUUUGAUGUACGCUCUCUAUCCACCUAACUGCACCGCACACGGCACUCAGUAAGCUGCAGUGACCCCUUCCAGGACCUAGUGCUGCUCCUCAGUGAUGGCAGAGCCAGCUGUGCCUCGGGCUGAGAGAUGCACUGCUCCUCCCACACUCACACACACACACAGGAACUGGUUUAGAAUGAUCUGCUUUGCUGCAGCUCUGCCAUAUGGUGGCACCACCUGCAAACAAAUACCAGAUCUGUUCGGAAACGCACAGAUUUUGUGCUGGCACACAACAGAAAAGCUGGAAUCAAACUCUUCCAAAGGGAAUGUGCCUGCGAGGAGCACCGAGAGCCCAGCACUACUCUUUUAGCUGAUUUUCCCCCCACACACAUUCAUGUGAAGACCGACAACAGAGGCUGAGAUGGUGCAGCAGAGUAUCCUAUAAAUAAGGGGUGGAGAGGAACUAAAAAUGCUUGGGAGAACAGAGAAAAGUGCAGUUUACUCUUGCAUUAGAGAAUGUUGUCCCCCUCCCUUUUUCCCCCCAAAUUAUUUAAGAGGAAGAAAGGACAGAAAGUCCUUUAAGAGAGCCUUAAAGACAGAGAAGAACGAGGAAUGGACAGGAACACUACGAGGAACUGAAAGGGGAAGAGUUAAGAGCUGCCCUCAGCCACGAACAGAGGAAAAAGACACCAGACCAAUUGUGACCAGGAAGAAGGGACCACUUCUUGUCACUGCUCAGUACUUGCCAACCCCACCAGCAACUCCAAAGUGUUGGUAAACGAAACAAAAGAAGAGGUGGCUAAUCCCCAAGUACCAUCAGGCCUGACCACAUCUGUUAGCUUAGUACUGCUGGAACCCCCCAUCUGAGCCCAAGAAUCCUCCUUGAAACACAGUUUUACAAGUUAUUACUGCACAUAUCCCAGCUAAGGAAAUGGUUGAAUCCUGUGUUUACCUCCUGCAAUGCUGUGGCUUUGUGUCCUGUGACAAGCCGACACAUGAUAAUGUGUUCCAACAAAAUAACUUGGAAAGAUGACAAGAUAGGACUGCAGUCCAACACUGAAGAGGGAACAAAGGGAAUCUGGGGCACCUGGCAUUCUCCAGAAAAAGCCUGUAAUGUUUCAGAAGGAAUUUCUCAGCCAGAUUUCAUACUCCAAAGUUGUUAUAAUUCACUGAGAGUACAUGCAGAGCAGACAGGAUCAAUUCAGACAUAAGCAAACUCGGACAGUUACGUGAGGAGUGCUCCCCAGCAGAAGCAGAGGAAGUGUGCAAGGCACGACUCAGGUGAUGAGGAAGGGAUGGCACAGCCUGCAGAGCACCCCUCCCUCCCUCCAGCCUCCCAAAUUUCAGCCCAUUUUCCAGACAGGUAAAGAGCCACACAGCUGCAGAAGAACACUCACUGAGGCAGUGAGACAUACAGACCCUUGUGGUCAAGCAAAAGCCAGAAAGGAAAUACCACACAGAGAAGAAAUCAGCAAAGAAUGUCAAGCUCCAAGAAAGGAUCCUAUUCAGUGGGAGGCACCGAGAAAAACAUUUAAGCUUCUUGUGAGUACUCAAGCAUUAACUCAUUGCAAAGCAAACAUUUGUCCUUUAAUCGAUAGGAAAGGCUCUGCACAGUUCAGCGUUCCCAAACUACACAAAGGAGCUCAGCAGUUCCUUUUCAAGGAAGUUGGUCUGCUUGUUUAAGCUCAUCAGGAAGGGGAGAAACACAAGUACAGGUGACUAUUAAGACUGCCUUCAAAGACAAAACUGCUUGCUAGCCAGCUCUCUUUCACAGAGUACUUCUAAAGAGCAAUUAAAUCCCUCAGAUCUGUCUCUCCACUGAUAUUGAUGACUGGAAAAAAUAAGAGGCGUCCAAGAUCUUUCCCAUAACACAGACGUUUUCCAGCCAUUUUUACAGCCACAGUGCUACACGGUACUCCCAAUUAGCAACAGAACAUCACUCACUGCAAGU